GUGUUCAUUUGGGCAGCACAUAUACUAAAAUUGGAACGAUACAGAGAUUAGCAUGGCACCUGUGCAAGGAUGACAUGCAAAUUCGGGAAGCAUUCCAUAUUUUU
rnacentral:snRNA from 1 species